UACGGGGGGGGCAAGCGUUGUCCGGAAUUAUUGGGCGUAAAGAGCGUGUAGGCGGCUAGGUAGGUGGGUCGUGAAAACUGGAGGCUCAACCUUCAGACGUCGACCCAAACCCCCUGGCUAGAGUCCGGAAGAGGAGAGUGGAAUUCCUGGUGUAGCGGUGAAAUGCGCAGAUAUCAGGAAGAACACCCGUGGCGAAGGCGGCUCUCUGGGACGGUACUGACGCUGAGACGCGAAAGCGUGGGGAGCGAACAGG
rnacentral:rRNA from 1 species